AACGUAGGACGCGAGCGUUAUCCGGAGUUACUGGGCGUAAAGCGCGGGCAGGCGGCCUGACAAGUCUGAUGUGAAAUCUCCGGGCUUAACCGGGAGAGGCCAUUGGAAACUGACAGGCUGGAGGGCAGUAGAGGUAGGCGGAAUUCCGGGUGGAGGGGUGAAAUGCGUAGAGAUCCGGAGGAACACCAGAGGCGAAGGCGGCCUACUGGGCUGCACCUGACGCUGAGCCGCGAAAGCCAGGGGAGCGAACGGG
rnacentral:rRNA from 1 species